rnacentral:rRNA from 1 species
AGAGUUUGAUCAUGGCUCAGAGCGAACGCUGGCGGCAGGCCUAACACAUGCAAGUCGAACGAACUCUUCGGAGUUAGUGGCGGACGGGUGAGUAACACGUGGGAACGUGCCUUUAGGUUCGGAAUAACUCAGGGAAACUUGUGCUAAUACCGAAUGUGCCCUUCGGGGGAAAGAUUUAUCGCCUUUAGAGCGGCCCGCGUCUGAUUAGCUAGUUGGUGAGGUAAAGGCUCACCAAGGCGACGAUCAGUAGCUGGUCUGAGAGGAUGACCAGCCACAUUGGGACUGAGACACGGCCCAAACUCCUACGGGAGGCAGCAGUGGGGAAUCUUGCGCAAUGGGCGAAAGCCUGACGCAGCCAUGCCGCGUGAAUGAUGAAGGUCUUAGGAUUGUAAAAUUCUUUCACCGGGGACGAUAAUGACGGUACCCGGAGAAGAAGCCCCGGCUAACUUCGUG